CCAUUGCUCAGUUGGUACAACACAAGGCUCUUAACCUUGUGGACGUGGGUUCAAGCCCCAUGGUGGG
rfam:Triticum aestivum genome assembly, contig: Triticum_aestivum_CS42_TGACv1_scaffold_061433_1DL